rnacentral:rRNA from 1 species
GACGAACGCUGGCGGCGUGCCUAAUACAUGCAAGUUGAGCGCUGAAGGUUGGUACUUGUACCAACUGGAUGAGCAGCGAACGGGUGAGUAACGCGUGGGGAAUCUGCCUUUGAGCGGGGGACAACAUUUGGAAACGAAUGCUAAUACCGCAUAAAAACUUUAAACACAAGUUUUAAGUUUGAAAGAUGCAAUUGCAUCACUCAAAGAUGAUCCCGCGUUGUAUUAGCUAGUUGGUGAGGUAAAGGCUCACCAAGGCGAUGAUACAUAGCCGACCUGAGAGGGUGAUCGGCCACAUUGGGACGGAGACACGGCCCAAACUCCUACGGGAGGCAGCAGUAGGGAAUCUUCGGCAAUGGACGAAAGUCUGACCGAGCAACGCCGCGUGAGUGAAGAAGGGUUUCGGAUCGUAAAACUCUGUUGGUAGAGAAGAACGUUGGUGAGAGUGGAAAGCUCAUCAAGUGACGGUAACUACCCAGAAAGGGACGGCUAACUACGUG